UGGGGAAUCUUCCGCAAUGGACGAAAGUCUGACGGAGCGACGCCGCGUGAGUGAUGAAGGCCCUUGGGUCGUAAAGCUCUGUCAUUGGGGACGAACGAGCACGUCAGGAAAUGGGCGUGAAGUGACGGUACCCAAGAAGGAAGCCACGGCUAACUACGUGCCAGCAGCCGCGGUAAUACGUAGGUGGCAAGCGUUGUCCGGAAUUAUUGGGCGUAAAGCGCGCGCAGGUGGGAUCUUAAGUCCAUUUUGAAAGUUCGGAGCUUAACUCCGUGAUGGGAUGGAAACUGGGAUUCUUGAGUACCGGAGAGGAAAGCGGAAUUCCCCGUGUAGCGGUGAAAUGCGUAGAUAUGGGGAGGAACACCAGUGGCGAAGGCGGCUUUCUGGACGGUGUCUGACACUGAGGCGCGAAAGCUAGGGGAGCGAACGGG
rnacentral:rRNA from 1 species